UACGGAGGGUGCAAGCGUUGUUCGGAAUUACUGGGCGUAAAGCGCAUGUAGGCGGUUAUUUAAGUUAAAUGUGAAAUCCCUGAGCUUAACUCAGGAAUUGCAUCUAAUACUGAAUAACUUGAGUACGAGAGAGGAAAGUGGAAUUCCCAGUGUAGAGGUGAAAUUCGUAGAUAUUGGGAAGAACACCAGAGGCGAAGGCGGCUUUCUGGAUCGAUACUGACGCUCAGAUGCGACAGCGUGGGGAGCAAACAGG
rnacentral:rRNA from 1 species